GAUGAACGCUGGCGGCGUGCCUAAUACAUGCAAGUCGAGCGAACAGAUGAGGAGCUUGCUCCUCUGACGUUAGCGGCGGACGGGUGAGUAACACGUGGAUAACCUACCUAUAAGACUGGGAUAACUUCGGGAAACCGGAGCUAAUACCGGAUAAUAUUUUGAACCGCAUGGUUCAUUAGUGAAAGACGGUUUUGCUGUCACUUAUAGAUGGAUCCGCGCCGCAUUAGCUAGUGGGGAAGGUAACGGCUUACCAAGGCAACGAUGCGUAGCCGACCUGAGAGGGUGAUCGGCCACACUGGAACUGAGACACGGUCCAGACUCCUACGGGAGGCAGCAGUAGGGAAUCUUCCGCAAUGGGCGAAAGCCUGACGGAGCAACGCCGCGUGAGUGAUGAAGGUCUUCGGAUCGUAAAACUCUGUUAUUAGGGAAGAACAAAUGUGUAAGUAACUAUGCACGUCUUGACGGUACCUAAUCAGAAAGCCACGGCUAACUACGUG
rnacentral:rRNA from 1 species